rnacentral:lncRNA from 1 species
AUGAAGGCCAAAAUUUUGCAACGGGCUAAGAGAAAUGAGAGAAAUUUCCACUGGUCUUUCAAAAAUAUGUGCCAAAGGUCUUGCAGGAACUCUUCUAACCAUGUGUUAUGGAACAUCCUCAUCUUACAAGAGAAAAAAAAUCAAGACAUAAAGCUACUGUGGAACAUACCAGCCUCAGCAGGUACAUCUAUCAGCAGCAUAGAAACUAACAUACUAAAUCUCUUCAUCAUUGAAAUGAGGCUGAAGAUUACACACUUCAAAAUGAGGUUAGAAUCAGACGUCGUCCCCAUUUUCACUCCAGAGACAUCUUGGAACACAAGCAGUUAAAUAAAAUAAGCUUUUCACAGCCUGAUACUGUCAGCUGUGCUAGCCAAGAGUGCUCUCCACACACUCAGGUGGACUACUGCCAGACACCCAAAGAGGAAAACAAGGUAGGAUUUCUCUUCUAUUUUCAUGCAGCUCCAUGAAAUUAGAAAUUUUGAUCUCACUGCUCAGACUUAAUACAAAUACAGUUGGAUACAUAAAAAUUAUGUUUUAGCUGCUGUCCAUCCAGCUCUAAUAGAUAAAGUAUUUUAAAUUAUCAUUACUCAAAUUAAAAAUAUAUAUUUAACCUGAAAGAUAUUCAAAACAAAGGUAAGCAUGCAAAAGAACAGCACUCUUUUCUGUAGGCAUUGGCUGUGACAGAGCACUUUUGAGGCUCAUCAUGCCUGCAAGAACUGGAUAUAUAGAAUUAUCCUUUAUGUGCCUCCCAGAGUUAAAGUCUGGAAAUACUUCUGUUUUGAAUAAAACAGUGUUUGUGAGAAUCA